AUGCCAACCCGCCUCUCCCGCAUUUUCCAUCAAACGCCCUUGCCGCAUGCCGCGCCGGAUUCAUGCCGCCCAAAGCAUGCAGCGGCCGGCAUGAUCCUGCGCAAUCUGACCGGACGGGAGGGCGGCGCCAACAGACAACCUCUCGGGCGUCACCGCAUCACGGCGGACGUCGUGUCCCGAGAAACCGACUCUCUCCGCUGCACCGCUUUGAAGUGGGCUGACCACACCUUCGCCUGGCCUAGCCACGGCUAUUUAAGCUGCAUGCCGGCGACGCACACAUCCGCACUCCUCCUCCUCGAGCAUCAUCCCCUCCCCCUCCCCGAUCCCUUCCUCUUCCCAAAGCCCUGCGGUGAUGCUGAACUCAUGGUUCUCUGCGCCGGCAGGCAGUGGAAAUUCCUCGUCAAGCGGAUCUUGGGGCCGCCGCCCUUGCUCUCCAGACCCUUCGGCAUCCACGACAGCGGGCUCCUCCGGCAAGGAGGAGAUAGUCAUCUCCUACGACGAUUAGGAGCACCAGCAGCCGCAGCACCUGCACCGUCUCUUCGUGGAAGUUGCUCUGACGGACGAAUAAUUCAUCCGUCAGAUGAAAAUCAUAACAUAGCACUCGCUCCGUUAGAUGGGCCCGGUGCCACCAUCGUUAGCGCACGCCAAGUAGGAGCCACUGUCCCCGAUGCACGUCCGCGUGAAGCGGGAGCCGGCAUCCCCACUCCGACGGCUGAAGGAUGUACCUGCAUCCCGACCGCACAACCGCGGCCUCCAUUUCGGAGGCCGCAUCAAGGGAGAGCCCGCGUCCCCCCAGCGCAUCCGUGGCGUCAAGCACGAUCCGGUGUCGCCCUCACCGCACAAGGAGGCGGUUCCGGCGGCGCCUCGGGCUCGGGGGCUGUCGUAUCCGAGAAGGAACGUGCGGCGAUGCAGCAAGCGUGGUAUGACUGGUGCAAUGUUGUUGGCCGCUCUGCGUUCGCCAAGUCCGACACUGCGUUGGAAUGGGUCCACAACGACCUGGACCUAGCCGUCGUGUGGGCCCUCUACCGCUCCAUCACCACAACGAGACGGCAACUCACCGCCGUCGCCUUCACGGCGACUUGGCCAAGAUCGGUGAGGAGUCGUCGCUUAGUGACUCCUUCGCCAAUCCCGGCAAGGGCAAGCCCACCGUCGGCUCUAGCCACGGCAACCCUCUACACAGGCAGGAGGAGGCGAAGUGGCCGAUCAUGGAUGUACGCAUACACAUAUCAGCUUUACUUAGGAGGAAAAUCACAACGUACCCCAUCGAUCGCUAUGGCAUGGUGCACGAAGAACAUCGGCAAAGGACUGUUGGCAGCCACCAAGGUGUUGAUAUGCUUGUGCCUGGUGACGAUGCUUGUCUUGUCAUCUGAAGAGAUGAAAUCGGAUGCCUGUGAUAAAGAUUGGAGCCUGACAUGGGACAACAGUUCAUGUAUCCUUCGCGGCACCUGCAACAAGCCCUGCAGAAGGGAGAACUUUGAGCGCGGCAUCUGCAAAAAACUCUUUCAUUGCAUGUGCUACAGACACUGCAACACUGAAUCUAUCUAG
rnacentral:rRNA from 1 species